GACGAACGCUGGCGGCGUGCUUAACACAUGCAAGUCGAACGGAAAGGCCCUGCUUUUGUGGGGUGCUCGAGUGGCGAACGGGUGAGUAACACGUGAGUAACCUGCCCUUGACUUUGGUAUAACUUCAGGAAACUGGGGCUAAUACCGGAUAGGAGCUCCUGCUGCAUGGUGGGGGUUGGAAAGUUUCGGCGGUUGGGGAUGGACUCGCGGCUUAUCAGCUUGUUGGUGGGGUAGUGGCUUACCAAGGCUUUGACGGGUAGCCGGCCUGAGAGGGUGACCGGCCACAUUGGGACUGAGAUACGGCCCAGACUCCUACGGGAGGCAGCAGUGGGGAAGAUUGCACAAUGGGCGGAAGCCUGAUGCAGCAACGCCGCGUGCGGGAUGACGGCCUUCGGGUUGUAAACCGCUUUCGCCUGUGACGAAGCGUGAGUGACGGUAAUGGGUAAAGAAGCACCGGCUAACUACGUG
rnacentral:rRNA from 1 species